rnacentral:lncRNA from 1 species
UAUUGUUGUUACAGAAUCAAAGCAAGAACUUUCGCGGAAAGUGCAGAAACGCCGUCUACGCUGGCCGGAUCAUGCAUUUGAUGAUGUCCUUGGGGUGGCCCCUUGUGAGGAAGAACUGAGCAAUAAAGAAAGAAAGGAAAGGAAGGAGGUGGCCAAGCUAAAAGAAAUGAUGGCCACGACAACGAAUUGGCCUGAAGAUGAUGAAGAUGGGGAUGAGCCAGAAAAAGAUAAGAAGUACGCUCGAUUAGAGCAGGAGAUUAUUUCUCUCCGAAAGAAGUUAGCGGAAGAGAGAAAGAGAAAUCGGGGCCUACAAGACAUUGUCAUCAAAGGUAUGG